rnacentral:rRNA from 1 species
UACGUAGGGUCCGAGCGUUGUCCGGAAUUAUUGGGCGUAAAGAGCUCGUAGGCGGUCUGUUGCGUCGGUUGUGAAAACCUGGGGCUCAACUCCAGGCCUGCAAUCGAUACGGGCAGACUAGAGUUCGGUAGGGGAGACUGGAAUUCCUGGUGUAGCGGUGAAAUGCGCAGAUAACAGGAGGAACACCCGUGGCGAAGGCGGCUCUCUGGGACGGUACUGACGCUGAGACGCGAAAGCGUGGGGAGCGAACAGG